GUCAAUGUUCUUUUCAGUGGCCGGAAGUGGGCCCCACGGGGCUCACGUGACUCAUUCACCGCAGAACCGGCCUGAUGAUCGCGACUCGGGGACGCGUGAAUGCCACACUUUCUGGUUAUCCGGGGCCUGUUGCAAAAGCGGAGUCGUUACAGGGGCCUCGUCUCUGACACUCGGCAUAGAAAAAGCAGGUGGAGGCAGCGCUGUGCGUUUUCCCCGCCAGCGGUCCAGGGAUGGGGCGUGUGCUCACCGAGAAGCGCUUUACUGGCCGGCCACGGAGUAUUUUAAGCUGCAGAGAAGCUCGUUAGCUGGAAUGGGACUCAUUGAGGACUGAUCCUUCAGAGACAGUGCGGAGCCAGCCUGCCAUCAGGCACGUGUGCGGGGGACGCAUGCAAGGAGCAUUGGACUUGUCACUGAUCUGGACAUCAGAGCUCUACAAAAUUGCUUAAAUUAAUGAAAAAUUCCAUAUAGCCCAAUGUCGCGUGUCUUAAGAGACUGCCUUCCUGUCCUGACGUUACUCGUUGAUUACUAGAUUUAUCUGCACAUGGUUAACCUAUCUCAAAAGUGAGCAAAUAUUAUUCAGCAGAGUAAUAUUUCUAAUACAGUGUGUCAAAAGUUACAUUAAAUUCUCCCUGAAAUAUAGUCCCCUUACAAAAACUGUGCUUCUUUUAUUAUAUUACCAAUGAUAAACUGACUGCCUCAAAGUUGAAACUCUCUUGAACAGGUGAGCGCUCUCAAAAAACACUUUUACAUAGAAUUUUUCUUAUUGUAGCACAUCGAUUUUUUUUGAGAGAGAGAGAGAGCACACACACGAGUGGGAGGGGGCAGAGGGAGAGAGAGAGAGAAUCUCAAGCAGGCCCAACACAGGACUCGAUCCCACGAUCCUGGGAUCGUGACCUGAGCCGAAAGCAAGAAUUGGUCUCUCAACUGACAGAGCCACCCAGGUGCCCCAUGCAUUGCUUUCUUAAUUGUUUUGUUUGGAAAUAAUUAGAGAUUGGCAGGAAGUUGCGAAAAUAAAGCAAAAAAAGCUCCAUAUAAUCUUCAUCCAGUUUCCCCGAGUGGUUGCAUCUUACGUAACAUCGGAACACUAUCAAAACUAGGAAACUGACAUUGGUACGAUGUACCUGUGUCAUUUUAUUGCACGUGUAGCCACCACCACAAUCUGGACACAUAACUGCUCCAUCACCACAAAGAUCUCCCUUUUGCAGCCACGCACGCCCUCCUCCCCACCCCAGCCCCAUCCACCAUCCAUCCCUACAACCCAGCAGUCAUCUACCUGUCUCCUUUUUUGUCAUUCUGUCAUUUCAAGAACGCUGUAUAAAUGGACUCCUACAAGAUGUGCCUUUCAAAAGCCAACUCAAAAAUUAGCUUUCAUCAUUCGGCCUAAGGUCUUUGAGAUCCAGCCAAGUACCUGCACAUAUCAACAGUUGAUCAUUUGAUUGUGGAAUAGUGAUCUGGGGUAUUCGUAUGCUAUGGUUUAACCGUUCACUUAUUCUGGACUAUUUGGUUGAUUCCAGUUUAUGGUUAUUACAAAUAAAGACGCUAUAAACAAUCAUGAGCACAUAUCUGCAUGGACUUAAGUUUUAAUAGCACUUGGAUAAAUGCCUAGGAGUGCAAUCACCAGAAUAAACCCCAUUUGGACACGGUGUAUGAUUCCUUUUAUAUAUUGUCAAAUUCUGUUUGCUCAUGUUUUGUUAAGGACUUUUACACCUAUGUUUAUGAGGGCCGUUGAUCUGCAGUUUUCCUCUUUUGUACAAUCUGGUUUUUUUAAGUUUUUUUAUUCAAAUUCCAAUUAGUUAACAUAGAGUGUACUAUUAGUUUCAAGGGCACGCUGUAGCGAUUCAACAUUUCCGUACAUCACCCUGUGCUCAUCACAGGUGGACUCCUUCAUCUCCAUCGUGUAUUUCACCCAUCCCCCCACCCUCCUCCCCUCUGGUGACCAUCAGUUCGUUCUCUACAGUUAAGAGUCUGCGUACAGCCUGGUUUUUAUAUCAAGGUACUACUAGCCUUAUGAUAUGAACCGGGAACCAUUCUCUUUGUCGACUUUCUGGAAGGGAUUGUGGAGAUUGAUGCUAAUUCUUCUAUGAACAUCUGGUAGAAUUCUCCAGUAAAAACAUCUGGGCCUGGAAAUUUUGCUGUUGGAAGUUUUUUCGGUUAUGAAUUAAAUAUCCUUAAUAUAGGUUUAGGGCUCUUCAAGUGAGGCAGUCCAUGUUGGGUGAGUUGUGGUAAUGUCUGGUUUAUGGGGACGGGGGAGUAUUGUAGCACUGAUCUAUUUUCUCUAAAUUAUCAGAUGUAUGUGGGUGGAACUGUUCAAAGUAUUCUCCUAGUAUCAUUUUCACAUCUCCGGGGUCUGUAGUGAUAGCCCGUAUCCCAGGUAUUGGUAACUUGCUUUUUUGUCUAUGUCAGUUAGUAGAGGAUUGUCAAUUAUAGUGAUCUUUUCAGAGAAUCAGCUUGUUUUCGUUGCUAGUCUCUAUUUUCCUUUUCUAUUUUAUUCAUUUCUGUUCUUAUGAUUCCCUUCCUUCUGCUUGCCUUGACUUUAUUUUGCAACUAUUCUUUUAGUUUCUUGAUACGAUAGCUUAGAUUUUUUGAAGCUUUUUUUCUUUUCUAAUUAUACGCAUUUAAUAAAAUAAAUUUCCUUCUCAACAAAGGCUUUGCC